rnacentral:lncRNA from 1 species
GCCCAGGCUGUCCAUUUCCCUGUUCAGGCUGGUUCCAUGUUCACUGUCUUCCUCAUCCUCCUGUGACUCAUUCAAGGGUCCAUUCCGUGUCUCUUGGAAAAGUAUUUUUUUCAUUUUUCGGUACUGUAGGUUAUCUAGCUCACGAACUGCAUCUUUUGUCCUCUGUAUGAGGUCAAUGAGGACACGUAGUGGCCGGUCUCG